rnacentral:rRNA from 1 species
CGAUAGUGAACAAGUACCGUGAGGGAAAGGUGAAAAGAACCCCGAAAGGGGAGUGAAAUAGAACCUGAAACCUAGUGCCUACAAGCAGACAGAGCGUGAGCGAACGUGAUGUCGUACCUUUUGUAGAAUGGGCCAGCGAGUUAUUCUAAAUUGCAAGGUUAAUGAUUUAAGAUCAGAAGCCGCAGCGAAAGCGAGUCUUAAUAGGGCGAAAGUAAGUUAGAAUAGACCCGAAACCGGGUGAUCUAUCCAUGGUCAGAGUGAAGUUGAAGUAAAAUUCAAUGGAGGCUCGAACCGGGUGCGGUUUAAAACGCAUCGGAUGAACUGUGGAUAGGGGCGAAAAACCAAACGAACCCGGAGAUAGCUGGUUCUCCUCGAAAUAGCUUUAGGGCUAGCCUCUGACCUAAGAUUUUAGGAGGUAGAGCACUGAAUGGUCUAGGGCGGAUUACCGUACCAAAACCUAUCAAACUCCGAAUGCCAAAAAAUCAAGUCAGGGAGUCAGACUUAGGGGGAUAAGCUUCUAAGUCGAAAGGGAAACAGCCCAGACCGACAGCUAAGGUCCCAAAAUUUGAAUUAAGUGGAAAAGGAUGUGAAUCUACUAAGACAACCAGGACGUUGGCUUAGAAGCAGCCAUGCAUUUAAAGAAUGCGUAAUAGCUCACUGGUCAAGUGGGUUUGCGCCGAAAAUGAACGGGGCUCAAAUUCAAUACCGAAGCUUCGGAUUAAUAGAGGGAUUAAGUUUACAAAUGAGACUAGGAAAUAUUUAACAAAAACAGAAGAGAUUAAAAAGAAAUACAAAUUUCAGACGCAGACAUAAAAGAUAGGAUAUUAAAGAAAAAUAUUCAAAAAAACACAAGUCUAAAGUCAAAAGUGAGUAACAUAAGAAAUUAUGAACUAACAAUCACUGGUUAGAGUUAAAAACUAGGACUCAUAGCUAAACUUAAUACCUCUAUUAGUGGUAGAGGAGCAUUGUAUUAGAGACGAAGCCAAGGCGAAAGCAAAAGUGGAUCUAAUACAAGAGAGAAUGCUGGCAUGAGUAGCGAGAAGGGAUGUGAGAAUCAUCCCCGUCGAAACCCUAAGGACUCCUGAGCAAGGCUCGUCCCCUCAGGGAAAGUCGGGACCUAAGCCAAGGCCGAAAGGCGUAGGCGAUGGAUAACAGGUUUAUAUUCCUGUACCGCUUGAAGUCGUUAAGAGAGAAGUGAUGACGCAAAAGGAUAAGCAAAGCCAUCAGAUGGAAAAGAUGGUCUAAAGCCGUAGGAAGAAAAGUAGGCAAAUCCGCUUUUCACAAAUUCUAAAAGCCGAUAGGUAUCGAAAACAUAAGUAGAGAAGUUGCCGAUUCCAGGUUGCCAAGAAAAGUCACUAUCCAGACCAAAGCGCCCGUACCAAAACCGACACAGGUAGGGAGGUAGAGAAUACCAAGACGCGCGGAAGAACCUUUGUUAAGGAACUCGGCAAAAUGUCCCCGUAACUUCGGGAGAAGGGGAGCCUGAGCAAUCAGGCCACAGAAACCAGGCCCAAGCGACUGUUUACCAAAAACACAAGUUUCUGCAAAAUCGCAAGAUGAAGUAUAGGAGCUGACACCUGCCCGGUGCUGGAAGGUUAAGGGGAAGGCUUAGAGCAAUCGAAGGCUAGAACUUAAGCCCCAGUAAACGGCGGCCGUAACUAUAACGGUCCUAAGGUAGCGAAAUUCCUUGUCGGGUAAGUUCCGACCCGCACGAAAGGUGUAACGAUUUGGGCACUGUCUCAACAAAGGAUCCGGUGAAAUUGUAGUAGUCGUGAAGAUGCGACUUACCCACGCUAGGACGGAAAGACCCCGUGGAGCUUUACUGUAGGCUGAUAUUGGAUUUUGAGAUUAAAUGUACAGGAUAGUUGGGAGACUGAGAUAUCUGGAUGCCAAUCUAGGAGGAGUCACUGGUGGGAUACCAACCUUUUAAUAUCAAAGUUCUAACCAUAGCCCUUGAAUCAGGGCAUGGGACAUUGUCAGUUGGGCAGUUUGACUGGGGCGGUCGCCUCCUAAAAAGUAACGGAGGCGUUCAAAGGUUCGCUCAGAAUGGACGGAAACCAUUCGUAGAGUAUAAAGGCAAAAGCGAGCUUAACUGCGAGAGCUACAACUCAAGCAGAGUCGAAAGACGGACUUAGUGAUCCGGUGGUACCGCAUGGAAGGGCCAUCG